GACGAACGCUGGCGGCGUGCCUAAUACAUGCAAGUAGAACGGAGUGGCGAACGGGUGAGUAAUGUAUCGGAACGUGCCCAGUAGCGGGGGAUAACUACGCGAAAGCGUAGCUAAUACCGCAUACUAUUGGAGCGGCCGAUAUCGGAUUAGCUAGUUGGUGGGGUAACGGCUCACCAGGGCGACGAUCCGUAGCCGGUUUGAGAGGACGACCAGCCACAAUGGGAAUGAGACACGGACCAGACUCCUACGGGAGGCAGCAGUGGGGAAUUUUGGACAAUGGGGAAAACCCUGAUCCAGCCAUCCCGCGUGUGCGAUGAAGGCCUUCGGGUUGUAAAGCACUUUUGGCAGGAAAGCGGUACCUGCAGAAGAAGCACCGGCUAACUCCGUGCCAGCAGCCGCGGUAAUAC
rnacentral:rRNA from 1 species